rnacentral:rRNA from 1 species
CCCUUAGAGUUUGAUCCUGGCUCAGAGCGAACGUUAGCGGCGGGCCUAACACAUGCAAGUCGAGCGCGUUUAGUAGCAAUACUAAACGAGCGGCGCACGGGUGAGGAACACGUAGGUAAUCUACACUUCAGCGGGGAAUAACCUUCCGAAAGGAAAGCUAAUACCGCAUACGUCCAUUUUGACUCCGGUCAGAAUGGGGAAAGAUGGCCUCUUCUUGAAAGCUAUCACUGAAGAAUGAGCCUGCGUCCCAUCAGCUAGUUGGUAAGGUAACGGCUUACCAAGGCUAAGACGGGUAGCUGGUCUGAGAGGAUGAACAGCCACACUGGCACUGACACACGGGCCAGACUCCUACGGGAGGCAGCAGUGAGGAAUAUUGGACAAUGGGCGCAAGCCUGAUCCAGCCACGCCGCGUGAGUGAUGAAGGCCUUCGGGUCGUAAAGCUCUGUGGAAAGGGACGAAAGUGCAUGGUUCGAAUAGGGCCAUGUUUUGACAGUACCUUUAUAGCAAGCACCGGCUAACUCUGUGCCAGCAGCCGCGGUAAUACAGAGGGUGCGAACGUUGCUCGGAUUUACUGGGCGUAAAGCGCUUGUAGGCGGGCUGAUGUGUCGGAUGUGAAAUCCCUGAGCUUAACUCAGGAACUGCAUUCGAAACUAUCAGUCUUGAGGAAUUGAGAGGAGAGCGGAAUUCCCGGUGUAGAGGUGAAAUUCGUAGAUAUCGGGAGGAACACCAGAUGCGAAAGCGGCUCUCUGGAAAUUAUCUGACGCUGAGAAGCGAAAGCGUGGGGAGCAAACAGAUUAGAUACCCUGGUAGUCCACGCCGUAAACGAUGAGCACUAGAUGCUGUAGAAAUUGACCUCCGCAGCGUCGCAGUUAACGCGUUAGUGCUCCGCCUGGGGAGUACGCCGCAAGCUAAACUC